rnacentral:rRNA from 1 species
GACGAACGCUGGCGGCGUGCCUAAUACAUGCAAGUCGAACGCAGUGGGGACGGGUGAGUAACACGUGGGUAACCUCCCAUCAGAGGGGAUAACACUUGGAAACAGGUGCUAAACUGAUACUGAUGGAUGGACCCGCGGUGCAUUAGCUUGUUGGUGGGGUAACGGCUCACCAAGGCCACGAUGCAUAGCCGGCCUGAGAGGGUGAUCGGCCACACUGGGACGGAGACACGGCCCAGACUCCUACGGGAGGCAGCAGUGGGGAAUUUUCGACAAUGGGCGAAAGUCUGACCGAGCAACGCCGCGUGAGUGAAGAAGGUUUUCGGAUCGUAAAACUCUGUUGUUAGAGAAGCGGUAUCUAACCAGAAAGCCACGGCUAACUACGUGCCAGCCGCCGCGGUAAUUC